AGAAGAGAGAAAGAGGGAAGAAAUGGAUCAGAUAAGACUACAUGUGUGUUCAGAAACUUGUUUGAGUAAGAGUUCAUGUGUGUUUUGAUCGAUGCUCCCAAGGUAAAUCCUACAAUUUUAUAUAUGUAACAAAAGAGGUCAGUAGAGGGGUUAGUCAGACAGUAUUGGCUAAGUUGUUGGUUAGAUGGAUUUGGUUGCUAAGCUGAUAUAUAUAAUACCUCUAAAGUUGGAAUUAAUUUGAUGUGGCUUGGAACAUUGCAGAGGUGAUGAUAGUGAGUUCUUAAAUUAUGUGAGUCUCUGCUGUU
rnacentral:lncRNA from 1 species